AUCUUACACAGGUUACUUGGAUAACUGUGAUAAUUCUGAUGAUAGCUAGUACAUGCAAUCGAAACUCUGAUAUGUGACGGAAUGAGUACUUUAUUAGAUCAAAACCAAUCGACGGAGGGCCUCGCUAACCGAUGUCGUUCAUUUUGAUGAAUCUGUAUAACUUGCGCCGAUCGCACGGUCCAGUAACUGCGACGCAUCUCUCAAAUGUCUGCCUUAUCAACUUACGAUGGUAGUUUCUGCUACUACCAUGGUUGUCACAGGUAACGGGGAAUCAGGGUUCGAUUCUGUAAACGGAGCCUGAGACACGGCUACCACAUGCAAGAAAGGCAGCAGGCGCGCAAAUUUCCCACUUCCGGCACGGUGAGGUAGUGACGAAAAAUAACGAUACGGGAUUCUUACGAGGCCUCGUAUUGCGUGCACUUUGAAUAUUUUAACGAGGAAAAAUUGGAGGGCAAGUCUGGUGCCAGCAGCCGCGGUAAUUCCAGCUCCAAUAGCGUAUACUAAAAUUGUUGCGGUUAAAAAGCUCGUAGUUGCAUUUGUGCGCCGCGCUGUCGGUGCAACUGACACGCCUGCGGAGCAUAUCGUCGGUGAACCGUUCCGGGGCCGGUCUCGCAUCGGUACUCGGCGGUUCAAUCUUCAAAAUCGUAUUACAUUGCCCUUAAACGAGUAACGAGAUGGGCCGACAAUUUUACUUUGAAAUUAGAGUGCUCAAAGUGAGCUUGGUUGAAUAUUUUGUACAUAGAUUAAUGGAAUAUGAUCUCGGUUCUGUUUUGUUGGUUUUCAAAACUCCGAGGUAAUGAUUAAUAGGAAUAACUGGGGGUAUUCGUAUUGUGACGUUAGAGAUGAAAUUCUUGGAUCGUCGCAAGACGAACAUCAGCGAAAGCAUUUGCCAAAGGUGUUUUCAUCAAUCAAGAACGAAAGUUAGAGGUUCGAAUGCGAUUAGAUACCGCCUUAGAUCCAACCGUAAAUACGUCGUCUAGCGAUCUGCCGACGUUAACACAGCGGCUCGGCGGGCAGCUUCCGGGAAACUAAAAAUUUUGGACUCCGGGGGGAGUAUAGGUGCAAAGCCGACACUUAAAGGAAUUGACGGAAGGGCGCCACCAGGAGUGGAGCCUGCGGCUUAAUUUGACUCAACCCGAGAAAUUUCACGAAGCCCGGACACAGGAAAGAUUGACAGAUUAACAGCUCUUUAUUGAUUCGGUGGGUGGUGGUGUAUGGCGGUUCUCAGUUGUUGCAGCGAUUUGUCUGUUUGAUUCCGGUGACGAACGAAAUUCUAACCUGCUAAAUAGGCGUUGUCAUUC